CAUAUUUACUGUACCUUUUUAGUUUAGAUAUGUUUAGACAUACAAAUACUAUGGUGUUACAAUUAUCUACAGUAUUAAUGCUGUACACAUCUGUAGUCUUGGAGUGAUGGGUUGUACCAUAUAGUCUAGGUGUGUAGUAGACAAAACCAUCUAGGUUUGUGGAAGUGUACUCUGGGAUGUUCACACAACAAUGAAAUUGCCUGACAGUGCAUUUCUCAGAAAAUAUUAUUGUUAAGCAACAUAGAUAGAUAGAUAGAUAGAUACAUUAGAUAUAUGAAUAUAUGAAUUCAAAUAGUAUAUAAAUAUGUUACUUAACAUGUAGUAUAUUUAAAUAUAUUCAUUAGUGUAUAUAUAUGUUAAUAGUUCUAUUUUUCUGAAGAAACUUAAUACAAUGAAGUAAAAGCAAGAUAUGAUGUCGUUGAAAUGGAAAGAGACCAUGUCAGUAUGUGAGAUGAAUAGAAUUAUGAUAAGAUGAAAUUUAAAUAUAGUGUCUGACAUAGGAAUCAUCUUGCCCUGCCAGAAGGAGGUUAUAGGUGACCAGAGAACUCCCUUUCAUCUCCAGUGACAAUGGCUCCCAAGCUUCCAUGCUGGGACCAUCUCAUAAUGUUUGUGUACAUUCCUGUUGUCUUCUACCUCUCAUCCACAGCGUCUCUCUACUGCCUAUGACCAGCCUACAUAAGGUGAGGAAAUUUCCUGCUUCUUCAAUGACCCAGGUGAGCUUACUCAAGUAAUAUUCUCUGUCUUUAUGAAAUGGGCAUUGUUCCUCCUUUUUGUGUUCUUGCAUCACCACAGUAAAAAGAUAAUCCAUCACUAAAAUUUGUGAAAAACAGAAUAGUUCUUUGCUGUUGGCUUCUUAUUAAAUAUUGGGUUUGUGAAUUUAUAUAUUCUUUCUCCCUUAUGAUGUUUCAGACACUUGAGGUUAGGCUAGAGGGAACAGUUGCCUACAAUUUUAAGGUGCAUUUUAUUCUACUCAAUGAACUACCUAUGUAGACAUAUGAGCUAUGAUUUGUAGGCUGAGAAGUAAAACCUUCACCUGAUUCUGAACCCCCGAAGUUGAGUCAUAGUUGAGGUCUGUCCCUCAACUAACUUUUCUCUUUAAAGGAAAUUCCUUCUUAAUUGAGUACAGCGCCUGGGUGACUAAAAGAUGGGCUUUGUGCCUCAAUAGUUUGAAUAUUUUAUUUUUAGGGGGUUGUGUUGAUAUCCGUGAGGCUUAUUGGUCUUCUCUUUAAAAAGCAAUUAUUAGUGGAACUAACUUGCCAGACAACCAGAAAUGCCUAGAGAGAGAGAUUGAUUGAUUGAUUGAUUGAUUGAUUGAUUGAUUCUUAGAGUACUCACGUAGCUUAGACCCUCACUGUGAGUUUUUGUUUCAUUGGAAAUAAUCUAUAGUUUCAGAUGAUAGUAAAGUAGCACAACAAAGAGAAAGUUUACAAACAGAGAAAAAAACGAGAUUCCUCUUUUAAGUUCAUGUUAUUUUAAUAAGAAAUGUUUAAAAGAAAAAUUUGAAGCCUUCUUCGCAGUGGACUUGCCAUGCUGAAUUUUGGUACAGACAUGGAGCUAUGCUCUUGCCAUCUAUUCAUUUCAUUACAUGUUUUUAACAAAUAUAUUUCGAAUUCAAAGCCCUUUUUUAGGAGAUGUUGGAGACACAAUUCAUAAGCAUGAAUUAACAGUGAUAGAAGUAUGAUUGCAUUUGACUGAAUUGCAGAGCAAGCAAUGCACUAGUCAUUAAAAAGGCACAUGGAAAGAAGGUGAAGUAUCUGUUAGUCUAGAAUACAUGGGAAAUUUUUCAAGGAUUCACCCAGAACAGAGGCAAGGACUUUGAAUGACCUUUUUCUGCUCAUCUGCUUUAAAUUAUUUCCAUUGUCUUCAGCACACUUCUAAUAAUGACACUAAUUCAAGAAAUUUCUAAACCUAUAAAAGACUAAUGUAGAUAUAGAUAUGAGUCCUGUAAUUUUAUUAUAAUUACUUUAACUUUAUCUGCUUCUGGAAAUGGAAAGUUUUGCCUGUAUUUCAUUAAAAUUAAGUUACAUGAUAUAAAAAAUUGAUGAUAGAUAUGGUUCUUAAAAUUCACUUGAGUAGGUUUUCAUCCAUUGUGUGCAAAAUCAUAACACAGAUUUUGAAAUUUGAAACUGUAAUACUUUGAUAUUAUUAAUCGAAUUGGUGCCCAUCUCUAGAGGAAGAAACAAGGAAGAGAUCAAAGAAGAAAGAAGUUAACCACUUAUACCUGUUUGAAGGUUGAUGCUAGACUAAAAUCUAGGACUUCCAGGCUGUUUUUGAGCAUUUUUUAUUUAGGUUUCACUUUUGUCCACAUUUUUUUCCCUUAGAGAAGUAAAGCCAACAUAUGUUUGCUAGAUAGAGAGAAGGGUAUCCUAAGUUCAGAGACGUAAAGUCUAAUUUUGUGUGAUGCAAAGUAUAUGAAUUAUUUUUUCAUUUUAAAUUUAUCUUCUUCAAAGAAGUAAAGUGCUAAGAUAUUCUGGGUUUCUUAUUGUUUAGCAGUCUUUAUUGUUAUCUAUUAUAAAAGUGAAAAAAUAGCAUACAUUUAAUAAAUCUAGAGUAAAUAAUAAAUCUAUAAUAAAAAUCUAUAAUUAUUAAUAAUUUAUUGAUAUGUUUUUAUUAAAGU
rnacentral:lncRNA from 1 species